UUCAGAGACAGAAAGAGAGGUGACAUGACGCCUGUCCCCAUUGCUCCUCUCAGGAUCCACAGAAAUUAGUGAACCCUGCUGUAGUACGUAGGUGAGCUGAAGUGGAGAAACCAUAUGCAGGGAAGGAUCCAGGUUGUUCCAGGGCAUAGAUUCCAACUCUGGAGCAUGGAUGUGGGCAGCUGGGCAAGUUGCAUCAGCCUGGCAGCAGGAGGACAGACUGCAGAGCCGCAGGUGCUCAGGAACAUGAGACAGCCCUCUCCAGACCAGCCAAGCCAUGGAAAAU
rnacentral:lncRNA from 1 species